AGUAGGAGACUGCGAUUAGAAUGCAAUUUAUUUAUGUCUAUAGCAGGUAGGAGCUAAUUGUAUGUCCAUUCCAGAUAAAUGGGAUUUGGUUAAGCUUUUUUUAUGUGAUAAUGACCAAUUUUUUAUUUAUUACCGAUUUGUUUUUGGAUCCUAUAUGAUGAAUGAAACAGUGUAUGUACUAUUUUAUGGUUAUGUUAAUCUCAACAUAGGGUUGCUAGAAAUUAUAUACUAAUCAACUAAAGCUUUUAAGUUGAAUAAUAUCCAUUAUAAAUGGGAGUGGAGUUUUUGUAUAGGGGAUCAUGAAGCAAUCUGUGCAAACUACAGAUUAUAAGCUUAACUCAUUGGUAUUGAACCAAACAGAUUAUGCAAAGAUGAAUGUGUGAGGAUACUUGAUCAGGCAAGAGGUUUCUAGGAUAGAUCAUGUUACAAAGAUAAAUUCUGCAGCAAAUAAACAUGUAAUGGAAGGAGAUUUAUAUGAAAUAUGAACGCGACCCAUUUCCCUCAAUCAUAUAUGUAUUGUUGAAUCUGGAUCAUCAAGGUGCUCUAUCAAAACAAUCAACAAAGGUAGUUUCUCCUUUGGAUUAUUGGGGGAAGAUUGCUUGUUGGUAUAAGAACAUGACCAACACCAACAUUGGUCAUGUUGUAUAUGACAUGAUGCACCCCCAAAAUAUUGUGUUGGUGAAAAUUUUCAAUGACAUUUCGUUUAUCUUAUUAAUAAACAUAACUAAACGUUUUCAAUAUUCUCAUACAUAUACUUGAACUUAACAACAAAAAGAGAUAAACGUGGGAAUAGACAGAGUGCUUUGGUUAUUGAUCGAAUACCAAUAUUACAAUAUUUAAAAAUCUCCAUCUUUGAAAGACAUUGGUAGCAUCACAUGAGCAAUGGGGUCUCUCUUCACCUUCCAUUUCUUGAACUGUUUUGAAGCAGCUUUCAAUGCCCUGCCCCAUCUCUGUAUCAAAUAGCACCCACAACCACAAGUUAUCACCAAUAAUUACUUCAAUUUCAACAUUUUACUAAGCUAAUCAAUUCAAUUAAUCUACAUAAAAAUCUCAACAAUAGUAAAGUGACCAAAAAGUUUUCAAGGCUCUAAAUACUUAUUACAAACUAUCACUGUGUGUUAAAAAAAAAAAAUAAAAUAAAAUAAAAUUUUGAUGAAUACCCAUUUUCAUAAACCAGAACACAAAAUAAAAGAUAUGCUUAAAAAACAUAAACCAAUUGAUAAAUAAAUGUAAUAACAUAAAAAGUAACAAAUAAGUUAAAAAGAAAUACCUUAUUAUUGAUGAUGGGGUUACAAGCACAUUUGAUCCUUGAAGGUGUUGGAGAGAAAUCAGAAGCAAUCUUCUUGUUCUUAAUGAAACCAAAUUUGAGAUUGAAGGAAUUAGAAGUGAACUUCUUCCUAAGCUUAGAACCAACCUUGUUGACACUGCAUCUAGCUCCUAAGGCAAUGUCAUAGGAAAGUUUCUUUGGAGUAAUGAGAUCCAAAUCCAUGGGAGAGUAGGGUCUUGGAACCAAAGGGGACCAGAUUGUGCUUUGAGAGUAGUCAAAAUCAUAAGCAGAGUUAUCUGGGAAUUUGCAGAGAAGCUCUAGUGACAUGAAUGGUUCUAAAUAUUCAACAACUUUUGUAGUGUUCAGUAACAAUGGUUGUUGUUGUUGUUGUUGUUCUGCUUCUUCUACAGAUUUCAUUGCUGAAUCAAAGUGUUACUGUUUGGUUAGUUACUUUCUUUGUUUUCUUCAAAAGCUUUGGUUUGGUUGGAUUUGUUUUGCAUUGUAAUCCAAUAAAGGAGGAGAGAGAAAUAAACGACAAAAAAAGGAGCCGUUGUAUGUCAUGUCACAACUUAUUUUAUAUAAAUAAAAGUAGCAAACAAAUAAAUAAAGGAUAUUAUUACUUCCAUCAACGUUUAAUACCAAUAUUACAUAUAAAAUACCCUCUACGUUCUUUUUUAUAAAAAGUAAUUAGACUAAUUUUUGUCCCAAUUAUAAAAAGGAAACUUCUACGAAUUGAGGUGCACUGAUACACUCAAAUUUUUGGAUGUAACAUAGAAUUUGCUUUAUAAAAAAAUAUAAUAUAUAAAAACAUUUUCAACAAAUCAGAGAACUGUGAGAAACAUGGGUGGAGAAAGAGUCCCAUUUUCAUGGUAUGUAUCCUUGAGAAAGUCCAAUAGCAUGAAUGCUAAAACAAGUUAAUUAAUCCGCUUGUUUUCGGUAGUUGUUUCUUUCAUAGCUACUCGAAAUUAAAACCAUUUGAUUUUUUUUUAUUAUUAAAAAGUUUAUGUGAGUUAGAUCUUGAAUUAACUAGAACUGAUAUAGACUUUAAGGUUCAAAAAAUUGUUGAUAAAAUAUUAGAGAUUAUCCACCAACAAGGUCAUUACAAGAAUUGAAGAUUUACCCUUGUUUUUUGAAGUGCGUAUUCAAAUUGAAUAAAUUAUUUAAAAGCACUAGAGCACGUAAAUUUUCUAAUUUUCACAGACAUGUAUGGCAUAAGUGAUAAACACUUGAGCCCAUUAACCAUUUGUUUUUGGCUUCAGUUCCUAACUCGGAUGCAUGGAAAAACAUACGUCUGCACGCGCGAGAAUAUCUUGGUUUACCAAAAUAUACUACUACUUUUCUGUGUGAAAUGACUAUAUUUGAACCGAUUCCUAAUCACCUAAGAUUGAGCACAUAAAAUGCCGUUAAAAAAAAUUAAGUACAUAUAAAUAUGACCAUAGAUCUAUCUCAUAUAGUUCUUUGAGUGCAUAGCAAGCAAAACGAAAGUGCAUGUCCAAGCAAGAAUAUAUUCCUCACAAAAUAAUUGAUGAACUCUAUUUUAUACGUACUAAUAGUAUCCAAAUUCCAAAGAAAUGCAAUGCACCACUUAACCUUUAUCCUUUUAGAAAAUUGUUAGCUUAUAAUUAACAUAUCACAAAGUGACAGCAACAAAUUAAAGCGACAGCAGAAUCAACUUUAGUUUAUAUAUUCAUGCUUUCUCACUUUACGGCUACCAACUAACUAUUUAUAUUACAGUCCAUUUCUCUUACUCUCCAUCAGCAAAAUCUGUGAGGAUAUUUUCAAAUUUCAACCUCUAAUUUUGUGCAUUAGUGUUAAUCCAAUUCCAAUGGAGUCAAGAGCUUACAUCCUUAGAUUCAACAUUGCACAUCUUUGCCUCUUGAUGCUAGUUUCCACUCUUUUCCCUUUGUGUGGUAAACCAUGCAUAUAAAUUAUAUGAUUAUUUCAUAUACUAAUCUAUCUAUGUAACUUCAGUUUAAUUUGUGUAGUAAUUAAUAAAACAUAUGUAACUUUUGUUAAAUUUGCAGAUGCUAUAAAUCAUGGAAGAGGUAGUAGAAGCUACUCCAUCAAAUCAUGGAAGAAACUCAAAUUUUCAUCAUUUGGCUACUCAGACUUAGAUUCUUCAUAUGGUACUCCUUCUUCUCAACCACUUCCACCUUUCAAUUCACUUGCUCCACAACCUACCUCUCUACCACCUUAUUCACCUGUUCCAAACCCACCUCAUGAUGUUUUUAGACCACCACCAAGUCCUAAAACCAUUGUUACAAUGUCGCCGCCGCCACCUCCAAGCCCAUCAAAACAUGUUCCAAGCCCACCUAAAAGUGUUAUAGGCCCACCUCAAGUAUACUUGCCACCUAUUGUUUAUCCACCACCACCUUCAACUCAUAAGAAGCCACCACAAUAUGCUAUUUGGUGUGUGGCAAAGCCUACAGUUCCUGAUCCUAUAAUUCAAGUGGCUAUGGAUUAUGCCUGUGGGUCUGGGGCUGACUGUAAAUCAGUUCAGCCUAAUGGGAUAUGCUUUCAGCCCAACACAGUGUUGGCACAUGCUUCUUAUGCAUUUAAUAGCUAUUGGCAGAACACUAAGAUUGGUGGGGGGACUUGUGAUUUUGGUGGUACUGCUAUGCUUGUCACUGUUGAUCCAAGUAAGUUUGCACUACGUACCAUAUUUGAUUACCUUUGUUAAAGAGAUUAAUUUUCAUAUAUUUCAUUUUUUUUUGUAAGUAAUUUUUCCAUGUAUUUCAUGUUCUACACUGUUAGCACAUUUACAUGUUGAUCUAAUGAUAAAAAAAAAAAAAAAAUUUUGAAUCGGCAAAAUAUUAUAUGUAUGGACCGUAAAAGUUGAUUAUGAUAAAAUUUAAACAGUUGAUUAGGAUAAAUAAUUUAAUUUUUUGGUACAAAUAAUAAAAUAAAUUUUAAUGAAAUUAUAUGACAAAAUUAACACUUCACAUGUUUCAUAUAUAUCGAGAUUCUUUUUUUGUUACAAUGAGAUCCUUUUAUUUAGCUGUUAGUUAAGUCAUUUCACAUCACAUCACAUACUAUAUAUAUCCACACAACAGGCAUAUGCCACUUGAUUUCUUUUAAAUUGGAAUCUAUCCGGGUAGAGAAAACAUGAAUUCAUGACAUCGGUAGCCGGCGUCUGAUUAAAAAUAAAGGUUUUUUUUAAAUUACCUUUAAAGAAUGGUGGGUAAUUUAUCCACCAACCAAUGAAAAUGAGCAAUUUAUUUGUGGAGUCAAGAUAGUUCAUGAAUAUGUGUUUAUGUGGCUAAUGUGUAUUGGUUGGGGUAAAUUACCCAUCAUUCUUUCAUGGGUAGCCUAGUUGCCACCAAAAAUAAAUGGUUCAAAUAAAUAUAUAUUUUAAUUUAUAAUUUAAAAAAAUAUCAAAUUUAAAUAUGAAUGGUUUAAUCUUGAUCAAACAACUAUUGAUGUGCUAUUGUGUGAUGUGUGCUUGAUCCCCUUUCUUCUUUUGAGGUGCAUUCUUCAUUGUCACACUCGGUGGUAUUAGAUUCGCGCACAGUCACUUAAAGCCCACAUUCACCUAUUCAAAACGUUGUUGACUUAUAUGGAUCAAGAUCUAAAGGAAUUUUAAGCUGGUUUUUAAGAUAAAAAACAAAAAUCAAACCUUAAAACCUGCAUUGUUCGAUCUAGAGUCAACGAUCACCGACAUGGUGAAAGUGAAUUUUUGUAACUACAUGGAAUGCAUAUUUCGUAGUCUUUUCAAUUUAGAACUAUGGAUUAUUGCUUCAGACUAACAUUUCCCUCAAAUCCUCGAUUUAUUUGGCAGGUUAUGACAAGUGCAGCUUCAAGUCGACUUAGCUCAUUGCUUGCUAUAAUACAUAGCAUUUGGAGACUUACCAAAUAUUGAAAACUUCUUGUUCCAAUGUAAUUUUUUAUGCAACGAUAAAUUCCCUUACUUAAUUAGAUACAUUAUUUGGAGUUACCUUGAUCAUAGUAUAUUCCGCCCUUGCUUAAUUUUGUGUAGUUCUAUAUAUUUCUAAAAUGGUAGGUUUAAUAUAUAUAUUCAUGACCAUAAUUUGAUAUUUAGAGAUGUAUGUAGCUCUAUUACGUUUCUGGUUCUUUAGUUUAAAACUUAGAUAAGCACCCAUCUUUUGUGUAUUACUAUCAGCGUUAUAAUCCUUGAAAACUUAGAUAAGCACCCAUCUAAAUGCAUAUAAGGUUAAGACAAUACCGACAUCAAAAUGCAGGUUGAAUACAUUAUCCGACUAAAAUCCAUUUCGCUUUCUUCAUGCAUGUGCUCUACAGUUAUCUUCAAUGAAUAAAACAGUAGUUACCUUCAGCCAGCUUGUAAUAUGUUGUCGCACCUGCGAAGCUAAUUUGCAUUCAAAAAAUAAGUGAGAAACAUUUUCCUGCGAAGCUAAUGAAGUGUACGGAAAAAUAAAUAAAAAAUUUACAUUUUAUUAUAACAAAGCAAACAAUUUACUCUAUUGCUUUUUUCUUUAAAAAAAAAUAAAAAAUUUACUUUAUUGUUUCGUGGUGUUUUUUUUAUUCAUUUACUUACUGAUAAAAAACUCAUAUAGACAAAAGAACUGAGUUAAGUGAGAAAAAAAAUGAGAUUAUAGCUAGUAUUGAUAUUUUUACUAAUGUAUUUCGAAAAAUAUUUCAUUCUGUUGGUGUAUAAAAAUUUACAUUAGAAGCAGGGAGGGAACCAUAUUUAACGGUAUAAGAUAGGAAAGAAAAAACAAAUUACUUUACCCAAAAAAAAAAAAAAACAAAUUUUUAUUUGCAAAUAUAAUGCACACAUGAAAUUUAAGAAAUUAUAUGUUACUUCCCUCAUUUCCUUUUUUUAAGUGUUUUUUUAGAAAAUUAACACAAAAAUCACGAAGUGUAUUUUUUGCACAUUUUCUUCCUAGUAUACCCUCAUUUUAAUCCACUAAUAAAUUUCAAUUGUUUUGCAAACACUUUAUCUUUCCAAUAAAUUUAAUAUGUUAUAUUUCUCUCAUUGUGAGUUACUAUUAUCUUUUUCUCCAACAAAUUCCUAUUUUUUUACAUGCACUCUCUCAUAACAAACAAUUGUCAAUUUUCUAAAUAUUGUGUACAUCUUUUCAAUUAUUUUAAGUCAAUAUAAAAAUUAAAUUGAUGAAACUUCUUCUUCUUCAUUGUCAUCUUGUUCUUGUUCUUGUAUCUUGUCGAAUGAGUUUUCAACUAUUGCUCCCUCUUCACAUCUCAUCAUCAAUUUCAACGAGUCUUCCACUUUUUCAUCCUUUUGAGCAUACUACAUGGAGUCUUUUAUUUUUCUUCUCUCAAAUCUUUUAUUUUACUUUGCCCUUGAAAUUUUUAACAAUUGAUACUCAUCUUAGUUAUCGAAUUUUAACUCUUCUUGGAACCAUUGUUUGUAACAAAAUUUUGUUUAAAUUUGAAGAUAACAAGAAACAAACUUUGUUUAAAAAAAAACUGUGUUCCAAAUAGAUAGCAUUAAUUAGUUUUAUUGAAAAAGCUAAAAGUAAUUGGCAAAGGGUAUAAUUGACAAAUCGUAAUUUAAAAUACCAAAAAGACAGUAAAAUAGGAACGGAAAAUUCACCAUAAAAAGACACUUAAAAAUGAACGGAGGAAGUAUAUCCAAAGUUAAUAUGUAUCGAAAAUUGUGUUCAUGUGUAAUUUAUUUGUUGUUUUUUGUUGCCGUUGUUUCUUUAGUGGCACUUUGACUCUGUAAAUACUUGUCGGUGGUUCUCCUUUUGCAUACCUUAUACAGGUUGAACCACUCUGAUUUUAUUAAUAUCUCAUUUUGAUUUGUUAAAAAAAAAUGUAUCUAAAAUUAUAAGAAAUUUCAAAGAUGUUAGAAAAAUGAGUUCCUUGAGGCUUCUUUGAGUGUGACCAAAGAAGAUUUUUUUAAUAGUAGAGAUAGGAAAUAAGAAACAACAAGAAUGUAAAUGUAGGAGAAGAAAUUCAAGAUAAUAUCACAAACAUUAGUAGUGACUGAAAGGGCGCAAACAACACCGCGUGCAAUAUUUCUUACAGUUUGAGUGAAAUUGCAACAAAUAAUCACAAAUUAAUAUUCUAGUUAAGGUUCUUCUAAUUGCAUAAAAAAAAACUCACUUUAUUUCUCAAUUUCUCAAUGUUAUGCAUUCUAGUUAAGGAUUUGUGUUAUUAAAAUUUGAAAGUUAUACAAUGCUAAAUAUACUGAGUAAAAAAAAGUUCAUUAUACAAAAUCAUAUUAAGUUCACAGAAAAUAGUAUAGUGACAAAAAAAUAAAAAUAAUAAUAACAUACUAAUAUGAAGGGAACCAUGGCCUAUGUUAGUCUCCGUUCUAGUUUCAUCCCUGAUUGCAAAGUAUAUCAUAAUGCAAUCUUGUGUAGCUACGAUAAGAAUUAAAUAUUUUCAAUUAUCUACUAAUAGUAAUGAUUAAUUGACAAUGCAAGUACUCUUUACACCUGCAUUGCAUAUGAAUUAGAAGUCACUUUGUUGGCAUAUCACUCCUCAAUCUUGUGAUCCUCCGUUCAAAACUAGCGGUAUGGUAACAAAACCCAUAUAUGUGGGUAUCCGUUUGAACCAAACUUAAAUUGACGGGUUUUUUUUAUUUUAAUUGGGUUUGGGUUUGUCUCGAUUUCAAAAGAUAGAUACGGGACGGGUAACAGGAAUAUAGGUACUCAUCUCAAACCCAUCCUGAAUGUAGAAAAUUAAUUUAUUACCCAUUUUAUAUAAAUAAAAACUCAAACCCUAAAUCAUUUCACUCAUACAAUCAGAGUCUCGGUCUUUCAGAUGACACAAUUAUCAUAGUUCUUUCUUUUCUCCUUCAAUAUUCCACACUCUCAGCCUCUCUCUUCUUCAUCACCAUAGUCAUCGAUCGUCGUCAUCUUUUUACUGAAUAAUGCAUUAGUCAUUACAACUUUGCGCUCGGGGAUAAAAAAUACUUUUAUUUUUAAUAAAAAAAAAUUAUCCACUUCGGGGAUGGGAAUGAGGCGGGGAUGCCCAAACCCGUCGGGGACAUGGAUGAGAUUCGAUUUCUCAUCUCCGCUGAAUAUGGGUAUGGUAACGGGUAAGUAUUUGAAAAUAUGGUAUGAGGACGGGGAAGGUAAAACUCAUCCUCACCCUACCCCAUUGUGAUGCCUAUUCAUGAAGCACAUAUAUUUAGGUAAAUAUUAGAAUAGAAUAACAUUGGAAUGAAAUAAUGACAAAAUUAUCUCUUCACAUGUUUCAUAUUGAGACUCUUUUAUUUACAAUGAGUUCCUUAUUUCGUCGUUAUAGUUUAAGUGAUUUCACAUCACAUACUAUACCCUAACAACAAAGACAUAUUAUGCCACUUGGUUUCGGUACACAUUUCAUUGUCACGCAUCGUCGUCUUAUGGUUGUUGUGCCUUCAAUUUAGUUAAAACUAUGGGCUAUUGCUACAGACUGACAUUUUCCUCAAAAUCAAAACCACCGUUUAUUUGGCAGGUUAUGCAACUUCAUGUUGACUUCCUUCUAUUGAAAACCUCUCUUUCCAACGUAAUUUUUACGUAGCAAUACAUCCCCUUUGCUUAAUUAGUGACAAUAUUUGAAGUUACCCUACCUUGAUCAUCAUCAUCCCUUGCUUAAUUGGUGACGAUAUUGGAAGUAACCUUCAUCAUCUUCUUUGUGGUUUUUCUAGGAAUUCUUUAGGUGUCUUCGAGUUUGGAAGCAUACAAUCAUUUUUGUAAUAAUUAAAAAUUAAAAUUGUUACAAACUUCUAAAACACGGAAGGGUGAUUGAGUUGUCCUCGUGGAGUCAUGUGUCCAAUUGGUUAUAUAUACAAUCAUAUUAUAAUAGUCGUAUAUACGUAAACAUUUUUUAAAAAAAUAUGUACCACACUUUAAAAAUUCACAUAUGCAUUAAUUAAUUUACUUUUAACCUUAUCUUCUAAUAUAUUAUUAUAAAUUAAUUAAUAGUUAUUUUAAGAAAAACCAAUAAACAAUAUAACGCAAACUUGAAACAAAGAGUGAAUCAAGGAGAAUCUACAAAAUAAGUAGAGUAAUGUAUAAUUAAUACAGAAAAAAAAUUAACAAAUAAAAUUUAUCUCACCUUACCAAUGGAGAUUUUAUCUAUUGGAAAUGGUUGAUAUACUUACAAUUAGUUUUCGACACACAUCGAAUAUGAUUAUCUCCAAUUUAUGUGGCGGAAAAACUUAUCACACACGUUAGAAAAAGAAAAAAGUGUUUAUUUUUCUAGUUCCAUGAGUUUCUACAAGGUUUUUUUUACUUCACUAGCUAGUGAUGACUCGCAUGUGAGAUUUGCGAGUGCAACUUAACAUAUGUGAUUUUGAGACCACGAGAGAAGCAUAUAAUUUUUUUUUUUAAAGUACUAUAAAAUAAUAAUAAAAUUUGAACAUAUAUAUGAAAUGUGGUUGUAUCUUUCAGCAUGGAUUAGAACUUUGUUUGUCAUGUUUAUGAGAGUUUAAUCUCUUGCGCUAAAUUCAACCUUAUUGGUGAAUCUAGAUUUUUUUUUUUAUGUAUAUAUGUAUAUAUAUAUAUAUAUGAUGUUUCUAACCUAAUUAAGAGUUAUAUGUUGUAAUAAUAUUAUAUAAUUGUCUUUUUACUCCUUUUCGAUCUUGAGUUAUUUUGGGACGGGAAAAUAUCUUUAUUUUGGUUUUCAUAUAACUAUUCCCCCUUUUUUGUGAAUCCAAAGCAUUGCUUGAAAACUUUUAUUAUCAGCAUUGCUCGAAAGUUGAAACUAUUCCCGCUGGAUUCAAAGUUUUCAACUUCACUAAUUUCUUUGAAAAGAAAAUACUAUAAAACUUCACUGACAUGUUACGUUACAUUUGGAAGCCAGUCAUGUACCGUAAUAAUUGAAGAAAAAAUAUUAUCAGCCGACACUAAAUGCAUAAAAGGUUAAGACAUUACCGAUCCAUGUUUUGUCGUUGAACAAUUAGUCAAAUGUUAAUUGGUUUCAUUCAGAAUUAAGUGUAAAAAAUUUGAUGAUGAUAAUGAAAGAGACUUGAGUGUAUUACCCGACUAAAAUCCAUUUCGCUUUCUUCAUGUGCUCUAGAUCUACAAUUACCUGCUACACAUUCCAAUGGAUAAAUUCUGGUAAUUAUAAAUGUGAUUACUUAAAAUAUAUAUGGUGGCUUCUUAAACUAAAUUAUAUAAAUUGUUAUCGUUAAAAAGCGACUUUUAGAGUUUAUAGCAACAAUCGUAUCUAUUUGUUCACGGGUUUUUGGAUUAAGUUAGAUUUAGGCUAUUGGUCAUUUCAGUCCACUUAUAAAAAUGGAAGGAUGGAUAUUAUUUUAUUAAUUUACACCAUUCGGAGAAUUUCCUUAUUUUGUAUCAAGUCAAAUAAAAAUUAUAGCCUCAACUCUGGCAAAUUAUUUGCAACAUGUUACCCAAUAGUCUACAUUAUAUAUCUAUUAAAAAUCUUAAUAUCUUGUACAAACAUUGUGUAUAAAUCUUUAUUCGAUCAGUUAUAACAAAUUACAUAGACAUAUAGUGUGUUCGAUCGAGAAAAAUAAAUAAAAGAUUGGACAUGAUAACUACAUUUAUACUAUGUGAUUGUAAAACUACAUCAGGAACUAGAUAAACUUAGAGGGUAAAGGACACGAUAAAAAUUGAAAUUAUUAUCAUUUACUAAAUCAGAAUACAACUUUUUGCCUCAAAUACAAGUGAAUAAAAUACCCAAAUAGACUUUUAUCCACCAAGGAUCGUCGUCUAAGAUAAAAAAAAUUGUUCAAUAUAAUUAAAGUUAGUAAUGUGUCUUAUGUCUUAUUCCGUGUUCUUAUGUCCAAUACUUACAUUUUUAGAUAAUCAAACGUAUUCAUCCUGUUGAAGUACAUGGAGUCGAUACAAGUUAAGAACACAGUGGCUUGGGUUAGGUGAUAGAUGUACAAUCGUAUAGCUUAUAGGUCAAUUCUAACAUGUUUCUGAAAGUCAUUUUGUAUGGAGGUGUGUUAUUUGAACAAUCAUUUGAAUGAUAACUUUUGUGACAACCACUAAUUUACAAAGGAAAGUAGAUAGUGACACGGAAACCAAAGUAAUAGAGAGAUAAAGUAAAAAAAUAAUGUGAGUAUGAAAAAUAAAAUUGUCACAAAAUGGUUGUCAAAAUAUCAUUUCUCUUUUGUAUAACAUGCACAAAUAUUUAAAAGAUAAAUGAUAUUUGUAUAACCAUUUUUUUGACAACUUUUAGACAAUUUUCUCUCUCAUAUUCACGUUAUAUUCUUAACCUUUCUUUUCCUUUUUCUCUCUCCUUUGUUUUUAACCAAUAAAAAGAGAGGAAAAAAAAGUUGUCAAGAAAGUUGUUAGCAAAUAGUUGUUCAAAUAUCAUUGCUCGAGUUAAAAUCGUGCUCACUAAACACAAAUGAUUUUUGACGAAGUUUUGUGUAGGCACAAGCAUUUCGGCGCACAUACAUAAAUCAAAAAAAUUAAAAGAUAAAUAAAACAGUCACAUCAAUCAAUAUCAUUUUAAUCAUUUAGUUUUUAAUUUUUUUUUAACUUCAUGGAUGCGUACCUAAAUGUGAGGUGUUGGUCAUAUGACCAAAUAAGAGAUUUUCAUGAUUUUUUUACCAUAAGAUCAAAAAGUUAUAUCAUAUCUCAUUUUAUUACAUUUUUUCUUUAAUGGUGGGGUUUAUUGGUUUCUAAAAAUAUAUCAAUUACCACCCUUUGUUUUCAAAUUCUUUAACCCCGUCACUAAAAACAUAAAAGUAUUUGGAGUAGGUUUAUUUUGUGAAAACAUUUUAAGUUUUCUAGAAUUUAUAUUUUUAAGCAAAAGUGAAUUGCAAAAAUUUAAGCGAGAUUUUUUAUCACAAGUUUACAAUUAUGGUGAAAUCGAAGAACUUAACUACUUAGGUUGUAAACUAAGAACAUUUUAUUAACAAAGAACCAAAAACAGGCAUGAUGGAGUGCAUAGACCAAAAUCUAAAGAAAAAACAUCAAACAGAAAUAAAGGGAAACUAUGUCGAUUAUUAUAACAACAAUCCUCUAAAAUAAAUCUAGGUGGAAGAGUCCACCAAAUAUAACGUUUAGAUUAAAAACCAAAUCCCGCUAUAAAUAUGAGAGAUUACAAUUAAUUGCAUUUGAGAACACAAUGACAAAGCAUUGCGUUGUCUUUUUUUUUUUUUUUUUUUGUCAUUUAGCUUAAUGGCUAUAGAAAUUCACCUUAAAGAUGAAUAAUUGAAGUGUCAUGCAUCGUCUGUUUUUUAAUCUCCACGUGAUAGACCGAGAAUUCUAAAAAGACUUCACCGAUAAUGACGGUGGAGAUUAAAAAACGUUCAUAAUUGCGGCCAACAAAACAAUUUGUGACUAAUAAUUCUAACCUUUUUAAAGAAAAACACGAAGUAGACAAGAAAAAGGAUGUAUCAAUAUGACAAUCAAUGGAAGUCCAAAGUCAACUCUAAAUGUUAACAUCAAAUUGAUUAACGUUGUAACUUGUAACACCUCGUUUUUUCAACUUAAAAAUUUCACAUAUAAAUUAAAGUAUUUCAACAUAAACAGAAUGUCACACUUCUUUUCAUAAAAUCAUAAACAGAAUAAAAUAACUAUUUAUCCUUCAAAUUCAACAGCAUAUCAUUUAUUACAUCGCAACGGAAUGUAUUCAACAUUUAAACAUCUUUUGCACCAAGGCCUCAACAUAAAAUCUCUUAAAGUUAUUCCAACAACAUGUUCAUGAAAGUUCAUAAAAUAAUACGUAAGGAAUAGAAAGCAACAACAAAAUUCUCAUCCCGUUACGUAUCAGGGCACCUAAGACACACGUGAGAGAUAGUCCACUCACGACAACAACUAACAGCAACUAUUCUCGAUCACCUGCAGGUUACCCAUAUGAAGGGUAACAAUUCCAAGCAGAAGGGGUGAGAUUUCAUAUUCAAAUAAUAAUAAGCAUAUAAUUCAUUAAAUGCAUUUAACAACUUAAACUUCAUCAAUUAAUAACAUUAACUCUUCUUAUAAUACUUCGUUAAUAACUCAAUCAAUUUCUAAUCAUCAUUAACUUCAUAUUCAUCACAUUAUAUACAACAUCAUAUAGCACAUAAUAAUCAGAUCAUAAACAUCAUCAUAUAACGACAUAAUCAUCACAUCAUAAACAUCAUCUUAUAACAAGAUAAACGAUACAUCAUAAACAUCAUCUUAUAACAGCAUAAACAACACAUCAUAAACAUCAUCUCAUAACGACAUAAACAACAACGAUUAAUAAAUAUUAAUACUUCACUUAGUUCUUUAUUAACAACUCAUUGACAAAUGACAACUUAACGACAACGACAAUGCGACUUCUACAUCUUAAACUCAACAUAUGCAACUUCAACUUCUUAAUCAUGCAUGUGGUACCAACCAGAGCAUCAAGCCCUCAACAUAAAGAGCAUAAAUACACUCACAGGGCAUCAAGCCCUCAACAUAAGAGCAAAAGCUCACAGAGCAUCAAGCCCUCAACUUCAAAUGAUUAUGCAUGGACUCAAAAACGUACAACUUAGACAAAUUCACAACUUAUAUGAUCCAAUAUCUUGGAAUAACAACUUACAACUUUACAACUUAGACCAACACUUGCAACUUAAUGACAAUAAUGGUUCAACAACAACAGAAACAGCAACAUAAACAUCUUGCAACAUAGCAACAUCAAUAAUAACAAUUUGAAUGAUAUAAACAAUAAUAAUUUCUAUAUCAUACAUUUUCAACACCUUAUAUAAAUAUCUUAAAUUAACCAACAAUCAUUAAUCAUUUGAUUCAGGCUCUCUUUAACUCUAUAACUUAAUAACAACUUCCAUUCUUAUCCAAAGAUCAACUCAAAACAUAGGUUAAAUACUCUUAAACAUCUUAAUUGAACUCAUAGUACUUCUAGUUUUGAGGUUUUGAAUUAUCCCAUAAGUUUUGGAUUAACUUAGAAAUGGUUAUGCUGAAUUUUCAUAAGAUUUCACUAAGACCUCUCUGGAGUAUUUUUUAUCAUAUCUCAAAAACCAAAAAUCAUUUUCAAAUCAAACCAAAGCCAUUGAAAAGCUAAUAAAAUUAUCUAAAACUUUCAUGUUUACAACUAGACACAGUUCAAAGCGGAAAGGGGUGAAAAAUAGUAAAAUAAGAAGGAUCUGAUUCACAAAAAUCGUGCCACGUUUUUAUGCCCAGAACCAUUGAACUUUCGGCCAACAAAAUUGUGCCACGCUUGCAAAAUCGUGACACGUUUUGACAGCAUCAGGUCCAGAAAUCUGCUUUUCAAAAAGUGCAAUUUUCACCAUUUCGCGCGUAAAAUUCAAACCGUUAAUCGGAUUUUGAUGCCGUUUUCGCCUACACGCUCCUGAAACUUGGCUCUAUCAUAAUCUACAGCUAUUUCAAGUCUCAACCAUCCCAAGAAUCAUUUUCCAAAACCUCACAUAAUCCCUUAUUUGCAAAAACGUUUAGACACCGACUUUUCAAGCGAAAAUCUCAAUUUUCAUCAACUCAACCCCAAAACUGGUUCUAAUCAUUGUACUGUGAAUAAUCUAAGGUCUGAACAUCGUUUCUUCAUUAAUUCAACAGGUUUCUAUCAUCUAAUCAACCAAUUACAACUUUUAACCCUAAUUUCCCAAAUUCCCAAAACUACAACCUACAACAUGUUAAAUCCAAUUUUCAGAAUUAUACAACUUAUAAUUAAAGAAUGUUAUCAUUCUAGGUUCUUCUCUUCUAUUGUUUUCUCCCUUUUUCUCCAAAAACUUGUUUUACGCGAUCCUUAUUUUCUAAUUCUAACUCUCCCCUUUUAUAUAAAUCCUUAACCUACUUAUUUUCUCUUAUUUCCAAAUCUACCCCCAAAGUCUCAAUAUUCUAUUCUAAUAUAUAUGUAUAAUAAAAUACUUCUAUAACAAAUAACAAAUAUAUCUCUAUAACAAAUAUAUUUAUGUACCAGAUAACAUAUAUAUUUCUUCACCAAAUUAGAUAUAUAUUUCUACACCAAAUAACAUAUAUAUUAUACUAAUAAAUACCAACAUAUAACAUAACAAAAUAUCACUCAUCAAAAUAAAUCGACUAAAUUAUAAAAAGACAUCUAAAUUCAAUAAAAUAAAUAAAUAUUAAAAUAGGGCGUUACAAACGUGCUUUCUAUCAUCGAUGAACCAGAGCAAAAUUACCAUUAGAUUCAAUCAAUGGUCAUGAUUUAUACAAAAUAAAAAUAAGAACAUUUAAGAAUUGCCUCGCACAAUCUUGCCCCUAUUAAACUUUUUUAUUUUUGGUAUUCAUCAUCUUCAACCUCCAUUCCAAUUUUUUCGUAAUAAAAAAAAAAAAAAAAACUCCAUUUCAAUUUAGGAGCAAUGCUACAAAAGAGAAUUUGCACAAAAAAUUGAGUGUGUCUUCAAAAGUUUACGGGGUUUGCUAAAAAUCUAGUUUAUGGGUUCAAUUGGAGGUGGUGACUAAUGAAAUUGGAGGUUUAACUCAUCCUUAAAAACCAGUUCAUAAGGUGAGUCACGCCCAGCACUCUUUGGGCUUACGUGAAUCGGUAGGUAUUUGGGCUUACGUGAAUCGAUAGGUAACUCUUGAAUUCGACAGGUUCUGAUACCAUAAUGAAAUUGGAGGCCUAACUCAUCCUUAAAAACUAAUUCAUAAGGUGAGAAUUGUCUCCUCUAUAUUAACUCUUAUCAAGAGUCUUAUCUUUUCGAUGUGGAACAUGAGUUUUUUUCAAUAAUGACCUUUAAAGUUUAAACACGCGGCAUCUUUGAAUUCUACAUAGAAAAAAAAAAUAGAAUUAUAGCGUGUUAUGUUUGUUUCUCUAGAGCAUGAGACAUUUCAUUGUUCAGUUUAUGUUGUCAUGGAAAGGCAUAUGAGUGAUGGGUGUACAUCAUCGAUCGGUGGUUUGAUUCUCGUGAAUAGAACAAAAAAAAUCUGAGCUCAAUGGUACAAAUCCUUACGAUGAAAGGUGAGAUAUAGUAGGAUUGUGUGUGGAUAGUUGUAAAUGUUAUCUUUUUUAAUUCUAGUAGAUCAAAAUUGUUAAUCUCAUUUCAUGGUAAAAAUUAAAUAGUCCAUUUGUGAGGGACUCAAUAGCUCCUUCACCUUAGACGUCACCCUUAAUUAAUAAGAAACUAACGGCGAGGGACUCAACUCCCUCACCUUAGACGUCACCAUUGAUUAAUAAGAAACUAACGAUUGAAGUAAAUAAACGAGAAAGAAACUCAAACUUCUUUCUAAACUUUCUUUCUCUUUCGUUCAUCAAGGAGGGGUGGUUUUUGACCUAGAAUCACCCCUCUACAUCUUUUUUCCCAUUUUCUUUCAAUCUAAAUAAGUGGUUUUCACAUACAAGUGUUUCCUUUUGUGUUUUUUGUGAUUUUGUCGUCUAAGUACAACGCUGUGUUGGUCGUCGUCUUGUGCGGCGUUUGAUUUCACGUCUUGUCGCGGCGUUCGUUUAGUUUCUAUUGAAAGAUUGACAUCGGUCAAUUAUAAAUCCAAUCAAUGAUUUGGGUGUGAAUGUUGCCGAUCUAGAAACAUGAGUAUUUCGGUGACUUAGAUUUAAUCAUAUUAGUUGUAGCAUUUUGUCAUUUUAUGUUAUUAACUUGGGUGCUGUGAGUUUGUUCGCAGUUUUACCCUUUACGUUUCUAGCGAUUUUUGUAUCUGAUGUACUCUAUCAAUCUGAAUGAAUGAAUAUCGUUUUGUUUUUAUUAAAAAAAAAAAAUAAAAAAAAAACUAACGGUUAAAAGUUUGCUCUACAUGCCUACAAUGAUAAUAAAUAGAGAUAAUUUACUACAACUUUUAAAACAAUGAUGCUCAUUUAUAGGAACUUUACCAUAAAUAAGUCUCCAAAGAAAAAAUGAUUUGGAUUGAGGAAUUGAAGGUUUCCAAAUAAGCUAUGUCCAUGAUUGAUCAUAUGCAGAAACUUGACAAAAACUAUCAGCAUCCUAAACUGAAAGAGAACCUGAUGAAGAACCCUUCUAAGCAAGAUAUUCAGUGGAAAACUAUACCCCGAUAUUUAUCAAAUUUCAUAUUUCACCAAUUCAACUCUCUCUAUCAAUAGUAUAUAUAUAAAGUAAGAUUUUUUAUGACACGUGUCACUUCCACGUUUAUUCGCAAUAUUUUUAUUUUUUUUCUAAUUUUUCAAAACCAAUAUUUAAUUUGGCAUAAAUAUCUCAACAAACUUUUGAUCUUAUCUAUUAAAUAUUUUACUUAACUAUUUAUUGAAUUCCUAAUAUUUUAUGUAAUAGAAAUAUCUCAACAAAAUUACAUACGAUACCCUUCAAUUAAAAAUCAUCAAUCAAUCAAUAGUAUAUAUAGUAAGGUUUCUUAUGCCACGUGUCACUUUCAUGUUUAUUCGCAAUAUUUUUAUUAUUUUUAUAUUUUUUAAAAUCAAUAUUUAAUUUUGUAAAAAAAAAAUCAAUAUUUAAUUUGGCAUAAAUAUUUCAACAAAAUUUUAACCUUAGGGAUGGCAAUGGGUACCCUAUCCCAAUGGAUAGGGUACUAUAGUACCCUAUCCAUUGGGUACUCAUUGCCAUAAAUGUAUUGGUCUAUUCUCCACUAUCAUAAAUAUAAAGUGAAAUAUAUUGAAUUGGAAAUGAUGAAAGUAGUAUUAAUUAGAGUUAUAAUUGAAAAAAAAAGUAAUUAAUAAUUGUAUUGAAAAGUUAAAUGCAUCAAGAUUUUUGAGACAAUAUUUUUUACAAAUAACUUAGUUAUUAUGGGACGGAGGGAGUAACACUUUAACAUGACAAUGAAAAGUAAAUUUAAGAAUUAAAAUGCAAGAAAUGAAGAGAAUGUUUCUCUAACACAAAACUAUUUUUUUUUUCUCUUUCACUUAUACACUUUUUUAAUGUGUAAAAUAAAAAAUAAAAAAAACUUAUGUAUAAUGAGACGGAGGGAGUAGUUAGUAAGAACAAAGUCGUCAAGGAACCAAUUAACUCUUGAUUUCACUUCCCAAAAACGUCUUGAUAGUGCUAUACUCCCUCCGUCCCAAAUUAUAAGCAAAAAAACAAAAAUCACACUUAUUAAGAAAACUAAAACAUAAAAAUUUGGAGUAUAGUUUUUUGUGUUUUCGUUGGAAAAAGUUUUAUAGGAAGAUGUAAAAACAAUUUUCAUUGGCUAUUGAUUAUGGAAAAAAUGAAAGAAAGAGAAAAUUGAAUGUAAUUUGCAUUUAAUUUUAUGAGAAUAACAAAAAAAAAUCUUGGAAAAGAUUAAAAUUUGUCUUUUUUCCUUAUAUUUUGGGACAAAGAAAAUGAAUUUCUUUUGCUUAUAUUAUGGAACGGAGGGAGUACUUGGUUAAGCUGGAUUGAGCAUUCAAUUCUAAUUUAAGGGCCUUUAAUUUACCUUAAAGAAUAAACAUAGGACAACCAACCACAUAAUUAUUUAUACCAAACAUUUUCCACCACGUGGGUGAUAUCUGGAAGAUGAGAGUCCAUUUAAGUGAGUCAAUGUGACGAAAAAAAAGAUAAAAUGGCAAUUUUAGGAUCGUAAAUUUCUGAAAAUAAUGGAAGUAGUAAUUCUUUUAACGUUUUCAUUGUUUUAAAAAAAUUAUCCAAUCAUAUUUUAUAUGCAAUUUUUGUUUUUUAGAUUAAUUAAACAAUAAAUUUUGUUAACCAGUGUCCUAAGGGUGAUGAUUAAGGAAUUCAAAUGUAAAAGUUUUGUCUUGUAAUUGUAGGAUGUUACAUUUGAUCAAGUAAUGAUUAUACUACUUUUUAUUAAAAACUUACUUGAUUUAGUUGUUUAACCAGUGUGAACACUAGUUAACAUUCUCCUUAAAUAAUUGAUGUUUCUGAAAUAUAAUAUAUAUAUAUAUAUAUAUAUAGCUCAGAUACAUCACUUAUUUAAUGAAGAGUUUUUUUUUUUUCCUUCUCUUAAUUAACGAAUAAAACUAACACUUAUAUAUCUACCAAAAAAAAAAAAAAACUAACACUUAUAUAAUAUAGUUCGGAUACAAUAUAUUUAUAUAAUAUAAUCCGGAUACAUCACUUAUAUAAUCAACAUUGCUAUUUACCGCGACAAGUUUUGUCCCGAAUGCAUCAAGAAUGAAAAUAAGCCAAUUAAAAACAGCUGUUAGUGGAAAUCAUGGGAGGUGGGGGAGAAAAAGAUGGAAAUCAUAAACUAAUGGAUGGAUGGCAUACAUGCCACAUGUGUCUGGAAAAUCUCGGGACAGUUUUAUUUCGUGUGAAAUAGCAUUUUUCCUUAUAUAAUAUAGUCCAGGUACAAGGCAACUAUCACCGGAUGAGGUUUUAUCUUUUUAUUAAUGAAUAAAACUUUUUUUAAGAAGCUAAAUGCAAAAUAUAUUAAAAACCAAAUUAGUUAAGCACAAGAUGUGCCAAACGAAAAACUGUGUAUAACGUCAAAGUAACAAACUCGAUAAAGAAAGAAACCACAAAUAAUAAAAAUCAAAAGCGAAAUUCAGUUUAUGUGUCUUUAGCCACCACAAAAAAUGAAAUUUAAUAUUGUCGAGAAGUUGAUCCUUAGAAGACACGUUGUUAUUGAAAUUUCUCGAGUUUCUCUCCUUCCAAAUUCUCUCCUUCGAAAUAACUCAAAGACAUGUCAGCACACCACUUUAAAACAAGAGCUAAUGUCCUUCCUGAAAGCAUGCGCGCCAAAAAAUUGUUGUGCGUGACAACCAAUAUUUGAUGGAACGACGGUAGUUUUACCCUACCAGAUCAACAAACACCCUACCAGAUCAACAAACAGGGAAAAUAAAUAAAAAAUAUUUUUGCAAAGUAAUUAAACGGAUUCUAAUGUUUAAUAGGAACCGAUCGAGGACAACAUAGAAAUCAUGCUGGAAUUUGAAGAAGAAAUACAAACCUAAUUAAAGAGAGGGGCUAAGUAUUUCCAAGCUGGAACUUGAAAAAGAAAAACCAUGCUCUAAUUAAGUAACUAAGUAAGGUAGUACAUUACAACAAUUGAGAUAAGUACGACACAUUAUGAUGAUUAUGACUUAUGAGCUGUUAAAUGAUGUUGUAGGAUUACUUUUUUCUUGUCAAAAAUAAAUAAAUGAUGUUGUAGGAGAAACAUUAUUAUAAACAUUAUUAUAACUUACAAGGACUAAUGUUUAAAAAAAAAAACUUACAAGGACUAAUAAUGAGACAGAACGAAAGUGUACGUGAGUGUAGGAGACACGUUAUUAUAACAUUUUAUAAAUAUUUAAACGUUGAUAAUAAUUUUGUCGAUCUAUAAACCACUACCAAUUCCUAGUUAAAUAUAUAAUAAUUUUUAUUAUAUUUGUUAGUUGAUGGUAAAAGAUGAAUAUAAUUUGUUACUAUAUUUUUUUUUGACAAAAUAAUUUGUUGCUAUUUAAAAUUCAUAAAUAUAGUCUAUACAUAUAAUUUUAAUAAAAAUAAAAAUUCACCCAAAAAAAAAUCAAAAAUUUCAUAAAAAAAUAAAUAUUGUUUAUAAUUCACGAGCGUUGUCGCAGUACAAAAAUGGAUAGAUGGAUACCCAGUACUAGUAAUUAAUGAAGUUAAUUGGUAAAAUUUCACUCUUACUGGUGGUUGAUGGUAGGGGUGUUUACGGUGCGGUUUGGUUCGGUUUUGAGAGAAAAAGUCAUCCAAACCGCAAGAUAAAAAAACAUGCGGUUUGUGUAACACCCACAGCUGACGAGGGCAGGGGAGUGGUCACCGGUGCACAAGGCACGCCAAUGAGCGGCUCCCGACAGCUUCUAGAGGAACCGAAUCACAUCUGAAUGAGAGGGAUCCUGAGGCCGUGUAGGUGUGGGACUACAUGAAUGAAGGAAUGCUUAUAAGAAUUGUUUGGUAAUACCUAUAUCAACAAGGUGCAUCUUCUUUUUGGUACCCUAUUCCAUAAGAACUCCACAGUUAAGCGUGCUUGACUUGGAGUAGUCUUUGGAUGGGUGACCUACCGGGAUUCCCGAUAAGCAUGCGAGUGAGGACAAAACACGCUGAAAAGACUCGUGUUGGUUUGUAGGGUCAGUCGACAAUGCUUAAAGUCGUCUGGGAUGUUACAGUUUGGUUUGGUUCGGUUGGCUUUAAAAUAAAAUCCGAACCAAACCAAACCAAUAUGGUUUGGGUUGUAUCGGUUGGUGCGGUUUUUUUCGUGACGAUACGAUUUUUUGUUUCCAACAUUAAAAUCAAGAUAAAAAGCUGAAACACAAUAUAUUUUCAACAAUGUUUUAAAUUUCAUCAAACAUUACAAUUUCAUUUUCAUUACAAUGUUUCCAACAACAUAAACCAAAUUAAAAACGCGGACAAAAAGUAAUCUUAUUUUGUAAGAAAUGCAAAAGACUGAGAUGUUCUCAUUCUCUAAAAGUUAAGUAGCACAUAAAUACAUUUUUAAAUAAAAAGCAAAUAAUGAACUUAACAAGAGAAAAAAAAUAUGACAUUUUAUAAAAGUUUUCAUUGAGUUUCUAUGAGUAUUGGUCUUGAUGACAUAUGUUUAAUUAACAUUUUUCUUAUGUUAUGGUUUGGUUUGGUUUUGUAUCUAUUUGACAGUCUCUUUGUACUUUGAGCGACCUCUUUAGUACGCCUUAUGCUAAAGAGGUGUCUCUCUUAUUGUGAAUAUAUAUCAUUUUACCUUCUUAAAAAAAAGUUAAUUGGUAAAAAAAAAAAAAAUUUCUCUCUUGAUUUAUAUGAAAUGACAUUUUUUUUUGGAACAUGGAGGGUAUUGAUUUUUACACCUUUUCAAAAGCCACUCAAGGAUGAAUAUAGAUUUUUCAUGCAUCAAACACAAGAAUCAUUAGCAUAACAUGCUUUGGAAAACACACACAUAUACUUAAAUUAAUGGUUGGAGUAUCAAAUUUAAAAAUAUUGUUGUCAAUACAUACCCCGUCAAUCCUCCUUUUUUACCCAAUAAACAUUGAAAUGUUGCUUCUUUCGUUAAGCAUAAAAACAUCAAAGUCUAGCAAAAUGUUGUUUUUGCGAUGACACAUUUCAUAUAGUUUAAAGGAUGCAUGAUUCGAUUACAAAAACAAAAUACUAAUAAUUCUAGCACAAAGUUUAAAGCUAAGAUUAUAAAGCUUCAUAGCAUGUGGAUAUUCAUUUAGAAAUAUAGGAUUAGGAUUGCCCCUUUCAUCACGGGUCUAAUAGCACCACUUGUCACUACAUGUUAAAAAUGUCCUCUAGUACAACACCGCUUUUUACUUGAUUCCCCUUGUCCAUGAAAAAAUCAAACAAUAUUUGGACACAAAAAUUUGCCCCCACUUUCCUUUUUCUUCUGCCCUAGUUUGUUUGAAAACUCAUAUUGAUCAAAUUUGGCUAUGAAUUCAAACAAAAAAUUCACUCUGCCCAUUGCAUGUGUGGGACCCACAUAUAAAUCCAUGAAGGAUUUCAAUGUCCAUCCAAGUCAAUGAUUCAACAUAUAACAUUGAAUAAUUUAAUUCCAAUUUGCAGUAUUAUGAUUUAGAUUGAUUGCUGCAAUACGGUCCGUGAAUGUAACUCACGAGAAAGAGGUAUCAAGGUAUUUUAUUUUAUUUUUAACAAAUAAAAUUUCAAGGUCUUGUUCACCAUAUAAACCUCCUCACUCUCACUCAAUUCUCUUAAGUGUAUGACUUCAUAGUAAACUACACUACUUUCUUUAAAACAUGGCUAACUAUGCUAUAGCCAAUGUUUUGAUCCUUCUCUUGAACUUGAGUACCUUACUCAAUGUUCUUGCUUGCCCUUAUUGUCCUUACCCAAGCCCUAAACCACCUUCACACCACCCUCCUAUUGUUAAGCCACCAGUUCACAAACCACCAAAGCAUUCUCCUACUCCUAAACCACCAGUUCAUAAACCACCAAGAUAUCCUCCUAAACCAUCACCUUGUCCACCCCCAUCAUCAACACCAAAACCACCUCAUCAUCCCAAACCCCCAGCAGUACACCCACCACAUGUUCCAAAACCACAUCCACCUUAUGUUCCAAAACCACCAAUUGUUAAACCUCCAAUAGUACAUCCACCUUACGUACCAAAACCCCCAGUUGUGAAACCACCACCAUAUGUCCCUAAACCACCUGUUGUGAGACCACCCUAUGUUCCUAAACCACCAGUUGUACCUGUAACACCACCUUAUGUUCCUAAGCCACCAAUUGUUUUCCCACCACAUGUUCCUCUACCUCCAGUUGUACCAUCACCACCACCUUAUGUACCAACACCUCCAAUUGUGAAACCACCAAUUGUUUUUCCACCACAUGUUCCUCUACCUCCAGUUGUGCCUGUAACACCACCUUAUGUGCAACCACCACCUAUUGUAACUCCACCAACACCAACACCUCCAAUUGUGACACCACCAACACCACCUAGUGAAACACCUUGUCCUCCACCACCACUUGUACCUUAUCCACCACCACCAGCACAACAAACAUGUUCCAUUGAUGCUUUGAAGUUGGGUGCAUGUGUUGAUGUGCUUGGUGGACUCAUACAUAUUGGUAUAGGUGGAAGUGCUAAACAAACAUGUUGUCCAUUGCUUCAAGGACUUGUUGAUUUGGAUGCUGCUAUAUGUCUUUGCACCACUAUUAGACUUAAACUUCUUAAUAUCAAUCUUGUUAUCCCCCUUGCUCUUCAGGUUCUCAUUGAUUGUGGCAAAACUCCACCAGAAGGGUUUAAGUGCCCAGCUUCUUAAUCAUAUAUGCACAAAGCUAGUACAUUUAUAUUUUGAAGGUAACUAUUUAAUUCAACUUUAUAUACUUUUCUUUUAGUAAAAUUUGUGUACAUGCAAUUUUAUUAUUUAGAUUAGAUUCAAAUAUAUUUUUAGUAUUUACAAGUAUACUGUUUUUUUGCCAUUUAUUGGUCUUCGUAAUUUUUCUUUUGUUUUUAGUCUUUGCAAUAUGAAUAAGGACUAAAAUAAAUAUUGUAUAGAUCAAUUCCAACAUAACAACUUUGCAGGGAAUGUAAUAAAACACCAAUGAUCAAAAGUAAAAAGUAGUAUAUUUAUAGGGAAUAAAAACAAAAAUUUCAUAUAUUUGGAUGGACUAACUAAAAACGAAAAAUUGGUAUAUUUAUGUCAUUAGUUGUGUUCGGAACUUUUCUAUUGCUAAAAUCAUAUUAAUAAAAUUUGUUUACAUUCAAUUUCAUUGAUUAAGAUUUUAUACUAUGUGAUUGUGACCUAGAUGUGUUAAUGUUUACAGGAAUUCCAUGAAUAUUAGUUAGCUCGGAAUAAGCGUUUACAAGUUGAAAGAGAUGUAGUGAAAAAAUUGUCAUUGUUUCUCGUUCAAGUUGGUGUAGGGAUACCAGAAAUGAAGGACAAGAACGUAGUAGAAUUGUACUUUGAUGGAAAUUAUGUAACUGGAAGAAGACCAAAAAAAUAUUCUGCACUUCACGUAGUAGUCGUCGUCAUGCAUUAAUAUGACAUAAACUUUCAAUUUAAUUAUUUUCUGUUUCUAUCUUUUUGUCACUUUCUUUCAUUGCGUAUGAUGCUGUGUGUGUAUGUCAGCGUUUGUAAGUUCAACCCGUGAGUGCUUUGGGGAAAUGUAUAAUAAGUUCUUUUUAUAUUUUCUUCAAAAUGCUUGAUUCUCAUCUAACACAUUUCUUCGUAUUAUCCGGAAUAUUGUCCUUUAAAAGAAAAUUACAAACAAAAAUCUUGAAAGAAAGAAUAAACAGUGUGAUAAUAUUUCUCCUUAUGAUGAUUAGUAAAUGCUUGUUUAGCAUAACGGUCUCAGUCAAAUUGGAGGACCCGCUCGAAUAUUAAAAAUAAAACCCUAAUAAAAAAAUUAGUGCUAAUUUAAACAAUUAAAAAUUAACAACAAACUUUUUUUUUAUUUGAAUUUGUUCUACUGAUUUUUUUGUUGGUGGGAUGUGUGAGUCGGGUCUAACUUAUAUAAUAUUUUCUCUUUUAUUUUUAUCAAAUAAUAAGAGUUUGGUUUAACCUAUCUUCUAUUAUAAUAAAAUAAAAUUUUACUAUAUAUCUUCCACAUAACUUUUUGCUCAUGUUGUUUAGUAUUGUGAAUUAGAGACAAAACUUCUCUUUAAUGAUUUUGUUUGGAGAGCAUAUCUGCUAGUUUUCGCCGAUUUUCCCUAAUUUGCGCCAAACGUACGUGCAUGUUUUUUAAUAUUCUUGCUAAUUACACAUAUCGCCAAAACUAUUUCCUUAAAAUUAGGAUAAAGUUUUUUUUGAAGAACAGUAGCACUGUCAAAAAAAAAAUGUCUAAAACAGUACAUUAUAGAGUACUAUACCUAAAUUUCCCCCCUCAUAAAAAAUUGGUCUAUAUUAGUGUGCAAAGUGUACACUAUGCAUUUCAAUUUUGAAUUUUCAAAAAAUGGACUAUAUGAAUUUCACAAAACUUCCGUUUUAAUUAAUAAAUAUUGCUCUUAGGAUAUUCAUUAGUAUUUUUCUAUAUUAAAUUCAUAUAUAAUAUGUCAUGUAAAUAUGUCCCCCUAAACACAAUUGACGCGGAAUUGAACCCACAAUUUCACACUUUAAGUUAGAGGUACUUACAUCCAAAAAAAUCCAAAAUAAAACCGUAAAUCAAUUCAAAAAAACAAAAAAUUGUGCCAAACCAAAUUUUAUUGGAUGUCUUAAUUAGGAUGUACUUUUAUAACAACCGUUUUGAUCGGAUUGAAUUUUGAACUCAUUUUUCAAAACAGACCACAUACAUAAAUAUUAAUACUUAUUUAUUUUUAAUUGGUAUAAUAUAUUGCAUUAAUCCAUUAUUUGUAAAUUUCUUAUUUUCUUUUAAUAAUACUUAUGAGUUAAAUUUAAUUUGUUUGUUUUUAUUAUUUCAUGGGGUUAAUAGUGUUUUACCCCAUGUAAUAUAAGUCAUUUCCAGUUUACCUCCUGUGAUUUUUUCUUAGAUUCCAUCCUUGUAAUUUGAAGAUUUUUUAUUUUAGACCUUCAUGAAUUUUGACUAUAAAAUCGAUGACAUGGUAGAAGGUAAAUCGAAAUUUGCUCAAAUUACAAGGGGCGAAAGUACCUUAAAUUUUGUAAUUGAUGUCAAAGAAUGUCCAAAAUCAAAGAAUCUUCAAAUUAUAAGGACAUAAUCUAAAAAUAUAUAUAUAGGGGUAAUCCAGAAAUGACUUAUAUUAUAGGGGUGAAACAUUAUUAACCCUAUUUCAUAUCUUUCAAACAUAAUCGAUUAUUAUCAUCCAUGAUUGUUAAAUUUUAAUAUAUUAUAGGCUAUAUUUUGCAUCAAACUUAUUAUUUUACCGUAUCUUUAUAGCAUCAAUAGAUUUUUUUCACAAAACUGUUAUUUAAAAAACCUUCCGCUUUGUUUUUUUUUAGUCUUUUUCGCGAGUGUUUUGUACGUUUUCCAUAUACUCAACGAAAAUAAUAAUUGUCAUUUAAAAAAAAAAAAAAAAACCAAAUACCAUAAAAUUGAAACGGAUCUCAUCAUCUUUUUUAGAAAUCAUCUAAAUCGAACUAUGAGUAUUUUAAUUUUUUGAUUAAAAGAUAUUUUGUUGGAUCAUACUAACUAUAUUGGUUUUAUUAACUAGUGUUCUAAGACACUAAUUAACAUUUCUCUUUUUACUUCAUAAAUGAUUCAAACUUUAACGUGAACGCAUCUACUUCAAAUCACUUUGUGUGUACGACUAACAAAUGAAGUUCAUAUAUAAUAUGAUUUCUCAGAGCAUAAAUCUCUAUUUUGCAUUCAUGUGUAUAUAAAUUAAUUCUUAAUGUCUAACUAUUAUUUUUUAUUAAAGUCGAACUACUUUUUUUUUUUCUAAACAAUGUCUCUAACUAUCUUAAAAAUUAAUAAUUUCUCUUUCAGUAUUUGACCCUUUCCUUGAUCAAAAAGAAUUUGACCCUUUCCUUGAUAAAAAUAAAAUAAAAUAAAUUGACCCUUUCACAUACUAUUGUUUAUAAUGCGUAUGGAAUAAUUGACACGACACAUUAACUAAGCGUACUUACUCCACUAGUGCAAUAUUAAAAUUACAGUCUGAAAAAGAAAAAAAAUCAUGUACCAAUUUCGACCAAUAAAUUUAAUGAUGAAAUUAAUCCCUACAUAUGAAAAAAAAUAAAAUUUGAAGAAGCUAAACUAACCCCCUCAAAUCGGUGCAAGAGAGAAUCGAACCUGAGACUUUAAGGAGGAACACACUCCCAGAUCCCAAAUCAAUAUCACUAAAUCAACCCAAGUGGGUUCAUAUGAAAAAAUAUUUGUUGAAAGAGAAAGGUCAUUUAAUUGAAUCUUCGUACUUUAAAAAUUCCUAAUAUCUAGCUUUUGACUAUAAGAUACUUUUGGCAACCAAAUAAUUUGAUCCCAUAGAUUUCAUGCUGCCUUUGUUUUUAACAUUAAUUUUCGAAAAUCAGAUGUUUCUCUCUCCCCCUCUCUCUUUUGUGAGCCGUCGGCCGAAACUCUAAUUUCUUCUCUUUCAUCCACCAAAGAGGGAUGAUUUAGGGUCAAUUUUUGACCCUGAAUCACCCCUCUAAAUCGUUUUUCUCCUUCCCUUCUAUUUAAGUAAGUGAUUUUCACAUCGAAUUAGGUUUUCCUUUUGUGAUUUCGUCGUCUUAGUGCGACGUUGUUUGUCUUUUCCAUGGUUCAGGUGUUUGCUCGAUUCAGAUUGUCAGAUCAGUUUCGAUCCAGUGCAGAUCCAACCAAUAACUUUGGCGUCAUCAACGUUGCAGAUCCGGAGGCAUAGCUAUUCCGAAGAUUUUAAUAUAGUCAUAUUUGUAGGCUUAUGUACUUUGCCGUUUUAUGCUAUAUAUUAACAUGGAUGUUGUGAGUUUUUUCACAAAUUCAUCCUUUUUGUUUUUAGUGAAUUUGUAUUGCAUCGAUGUACUCUGUCAAUUUGAAUGAAUGAAUGUGUCCUUUGUUUUGUGUAAAAAAACAUUAAUUUUCGAGAAGAGUUGCGCAAGUUACGAAAUUGAGUGUCACGUCAAUAAAUGAUGUUCGGUUGAUGUAAAUUUUGGAGAAAAUCGGGGAGGAAGGCCACCAAAUUAAAGAAGAGAUGAAAACAUAAGAGUGUGUUUGUUUCAAGGAAAGAAAUUACAUUCCUUGGAAUGACAUUCAUGGGAACAAAUUUUCAAAAUUUGAAACAAGCACGGGAAUGUUGCAUUUCCAAUCUCACAUUCCCGGGAAUCAUAUUACAACCCUUGAAACAAACACACUAUAAGAUGCCGAAAUCGCUCAAGGAAGAAUGGAAGGUCAUGAAAUCGCACAAUCGUGAUACUUAAAGGUCAAAUAUGCAGUUAAACCUAUAAUUUUUCUCUCUAAAUUUAUUUAAUUGAUUAUAUUUUUAAGAAAAUAAUACUACAAAAUAAGUGUCAAGUGUUGCCUAAUUAAUGAAGAAUUUUGUAUCAAAAUAAAAAAUACUCGAUAAAGGAUUUGAUCUUUUGAACUAUACGUUGAUAAAAUAGUUGAUAGUUGGAUUUGGAAACAUGCUUCAGAAACUCAAACUACUUAGUUAAAUGAUUUGAUCAUAUUUUGACUCAAGAAGAGCCGGUCCAUGCACCUUUUACGUAGAUUAUUUAAAACAAUGCAAUGCCUCUUAAAGUGUCGUUUUUUGCGUGGAGAGUCUUCAAUAAGAAAAUUUCGAUAAAAGGCAAUUUGGGUCUUUGGUUAUGUAUAUGUUGUCCCAAUGCUUGACAAAACAUAUCCAAACAAUGUAAAACACUGUGAGCUUGCUCAAUAGAAACCUUCGCAAAAAGAAGAUUAUCAUCAACAAAAAGCAAAUGAGAGGUUUAAGGGAUAUGCAUUUUUUCUCUCUGUCACCAUGUCACCAUGUAAAACACUGUCACCAUGUCUAAUACCACUUAUGAGAACGAAAGUGUCAAUGUUCUCUCUGUUCGACAAUAUUUUGUAUGAGAGAGAAGAAAUACAAUGAUGAAUUACCUAAAUGAGCUUAGAAUGAAAUUGCACCCCUUUAAGCAUUUUUUCACAAAAUUCUAGUUUAGACGAUCAUAGGCUUUUUUCAGUUCAAUUUUAAUAGACAUAUACAGUGUGUUUGGUAGAGGUGAAAUUGCAGAGAGAGAGAGAGAUGCAAGCGAGAGAAAUAGGAUUGAGAUGCAGAAUCUUUUAGUGUACCAUCUCCCAACUACAAUGAUGUUAUGAUGGGUACUUCUUUCAAAAAUAAAAAUAAACUGAUAUGGAUAAACUAUCCCAUCAAAUAAAAGUUUAAUUCUAUUAACAUAAACUUUAGAAAUAACAUUAUACAAAACUUUGAGUCUAAAUUGAGAAAAAAUUAUUCAGGUUUAUCAAUUUUAUGUUUAUGUAUUAUACCAUACGCUAGUAAUACUAUCUUUUAUUAUGUUCACGCAUGUGUCUCAAGCAUAUGGGUAUAAUGUGUAAGCUAUGGGAAAAUGACUCAAGCAUGUGUCUCAAGCAUGGAAUAUAGUGUCAGUAGCAAAUAAAAAGGUUAUAAAGAACAAGAAACGAUCUAGACAUCAUACUAUCUUUUAUGUUCGUGUGGUUGGCUCUGAUUAAUCUAACAAGUAUGGGAUGCUUGACCUUGAUGCAAUAAUGUUUCUUUAAACACCGACGUAGUAGUAAUAAUAAUAAUAAUUUAAAAUAAUGUUUAUUUAUAAAAAAAGUAAUAAUAGUAUGUUUUUUUAUAACAAUGAGGGCCUAAGAUAAAAGAAGAAAGAGAUAACAACGAGAUUAUAGGUGGAGUAAAAUUCCCUAUCAAAUCAAAAAGCAACAAAGACUAAUAUUGUUAGGACGAACAUCAAAGGAACAGGUCCCUAAAUCCAUCGAACAAGCUAAAUUGUUUGCGCAUUGAUUUGCUUCAUGAUAAGAGUGAUAACAACAACUUCUCAAUCAAGUGAAAGGAAGCGAUGAAUCUUCUCAACUAGCUACCUCCUUCUCUAGCUAUCAUGCACAUGUGAAGUGAUAGCUUUUACAAUAACUAAGGAGUCAACAUGCAACUCAAUAAAUCAAAAUUGCAACCUUCUAACAUUACAUGACCCCUUCCAAUAAUGAUGUGUUGUUGCCUAUAAACAAUUUUCUACUUUGUAGAGCUUUAGUACGAUGUAAAAUGAGUCGAUGUUGUGAAAAAUAAGUAAGAAUUGACAUACAUAGUGAAAAUAAGCAAGAUUAUACAUUGUUUUGAUUUUUUUUUUUUAAGUUUUAAAUAAGCUUUACUACGUUAGUAUAUAAGACCAUCUUUAAAUGAGGAGUCUUGUUUUUAUUUUUUAUUUUUUUCCUUUUUAAAUUAAUGAGGAAUCUUAGAGUGUGUUUGGAUGGGGGAAUGUUUUAAGGGAAUGUAAUGUUUUGAAGGAAUUCAAAUACCUUGAGGUGAAUUUCAUUGUUUGGGUAAUAGUUUGAAGAAUUUUCAAAAUGAUGGAAAUUUAUGAAGUAUUUUGUUCAAGUUAAAUGUAGAGAAUUUCAAAUGACACCUAAAAGUUAAGAAUUUCAAAAAUCUUCAUUGUCAUAUUUUUUCAAAUUUUACAUUUUGGUCCUCAAACUUUCCAAAAUUUUCAAUUUGACCCCAAUAAAUUUAUAAAAAUUGCAAAUUGACCCCUCAAAUUUUCCAAAAAUUAUAAUUUGGCCCCUCAAAAAAUUUGAAAUUUACUAAUUGACCUCUAAUUUCAUUUUUCAAAUUUGGCCCAAAAAAAUUGAAAUUUAUAAAAGUUGCCCAAAAAUGAUGACAAUAAAUUUUUUUUAUUACUCCAUCCAAACAAUAAUAUUUAAGAAUGAAAGCAAUUUAAUUGAAUCAUUUGAAUUACCUAGAAUUCUAAAUUCUUCAAAAUUUCUCAAAUACUCCAUCCAAACACACUCUUAGAGAAUCUAUAAUGAAUAACUCUGAAAAUGAAUUUUUAAGUGUGAUUUAUGUGUACACAUUACACAUUUGUAAUUUUUAAAUAUCAAUUUCUGAUAACCAUUGAACCCUUCCAUUAACUUCAUCCAUAUUCUCCUAGCCAUUAUGUAUAAUUGGCCCUCUAACAAGUACUUGUUUGUACUGUAUUCCAAAAAAUGAUGUUGAUGAGAGACUUACUAAGUAAUGUUUGACAUAGUCGAGUAUUAUUAUAAAAUAUUGAUAAAGUCAAGGACAUUUAUAAGCGCGACUCGUAGAGUUAGAGACCAACUUGAUCAUUUAACUAGCCAUGUUAAAGCUAUUAAUAGUGUCAUCAAACAGUGUUGAUCAAAGGAAUUAACUUAAUAUAACGUUUGAUAAAGUUAGAGACUAUUUUAAAAUAGGAUUUUUCUAUCAUGUGAAAAUUUGCACAUAUUAAGAAGUUUAA
rnacentral:lncRNA from 1 species